rnacentral:misc_RNA from 1 species
GAUCCUUUGGCAGGUUCAAAGUUGGAGAUGAUAAAGAACAUCAGAGCACAAAGAGCUGCCACAGAAACCAAGAAAACUGAAGCCAUUGAACGAGCAAGGUUAGUAUGCUAGAGAAGAAGAAAUGACUUAUAAUAUGAACACAAAUAAAAGUGAGUUCACUGGCAUGCACGAUGAAGUUAUUGAGAACUCAUGGCUUAUCCAGUCACCAUUUUUUGCACUUGUAGCUGAUGCAAAAGUUAAAUAAGAUUUAACUUUUAAAUCCUUCCAAUUACUGUUGGAAAAGAAAGUUGUAGAUGGUGCAUGCCAGAAGAACCAUCUGCAUUUUCUCAGUUUCAUGAUAAUCACACUUUUUUACCGUAAUCUAGAUUUUCUGCCCUUGUAUUAUGCUGCUCAAUCAGAGAGAAAAUAUGCUUAUGUUUUCUGAUAUGCUGCAGGUUGUUAAUAGCUGAAGCUGA